rnacentral:rRNA from 1 species
GACGAACGCUGGCGGCGUGCCUAAUACAUGCAAGUAGAACGCUGAAGGAGGAGCUUGCUUCUCUGGAUGAGUUGCGAACGGGUGAGUAACGCGUAGGUAACCUGCCUGGUAGCGGGGGAUAACUAUUGGAAACGAUAGCUAAUACCGCAUAAGAGUAGAUGUUGCAUGACAUUUGCUUAAAAGGUGCAAUUGCAUCACUACCAGAUGGACCUGCGUUGUAUUAGCUAGUUGGUGGGGUAACGGCUCACCAAGGCGACGAUACAUAGCCGACCUGAGAGGGUGAUCGGCCACACUGGGACUGAGACACGGCCCAGACUCCUACGGGAGGCAGCAGUAGGGAAUCUUCGGCAAUGGACGGAAGUCUGACCGAGCAACGCCGCGUGAGUGAGGAAGGUUUUCGGAUCGUAAAGCUCUGUUGUAAGAGAAGAACGAGUGUGAGAGUGGAAAGUUCACACUGUGACGGUAUCUUACCAGA